AAAUCAGUUAUGAUGUACGUGAUAAAUUCUUACUACUUGGAUAACCGUGGUAAUUCUAGAGCUAAUACAUGCAAAAAAGCCUCGACUUCGGAAGGGGUGCACUUAUUAGAUUAAACCAACGCUGGGGUAAAAUCCAGAUUUCUUUGGUGAUUCAUAAUAAUUAAGCGGAUCGCAUGGCCUAGUGCCGGCGACGAUCCACUCCAUWNUCUGCCCUAUCAUGG
rnacentral:rRNA from 1 species